rnacentral:tRNA from 31 species
GGGCGUUUAGCUCAGCUGGUUCAGAGCAUCUGCCUUACAAGCAGAGGGUCGGCGGUUCGAAUCCGUCAACGCCCAC